rnacentral:misc_RNA from 1 species
UUGGUUUCGUUUUUGUUCGUUGGUUCCAAGACCGAAGUCUCUUCGCCUAAGAUAAGUUCAUACCAGUUUGAUUCCAAUCACUCGUGAAAGUGGUUGAAAAAGGGGUUUGGUCUAACGCAUGCUCAUCAAUCCCCGAAAGGAUCGACAAACGAAAUUUUAUUGGUUCGCGGGACAAAAAAAGAAAGACACAAGAAGUCCCGGGAUGUUUAGAGCCCUUUCCCCCGAUGCCUUCCCUCUCUUUUUGUUGUUACAGGGUGUGGUAAUGAUCCUUCCGCAGGUUCACCUACGGAAA